rnacentral:sRNA from 1 species
GCCGGGCAUGGUGGCUCAUGCCUAUAAUCCCAGUGACUCAGGAGGCUGAGGCAGGAGGAUCACAAGUUUAAGGCUAGCCUCAGCAACUUAGUGAGGCCCUAAACAACUGAACAAGACCCUU